CUCUUAAAGUUAACCUGAAUCUAUUGCCGGAAUUCAACCAUAAGUUUAGGUGGAAAAGUUGUAUAGUAACUACAAAUGUGAAGUUGCGGAUGAAUUAUUGUUAGAAGUUGGCAUUAUUUUAUUUUCUAUACUUUGAAUAGCAACUGUUAAAGUGAAGUUACAUGUAUUUUUACUCAUUAUUUAAGACAUAAGGGUUGUAGUUGAUUGAUUCAAAAAAUUAUGUUAAUUUAUGACAUGCAUGUAAAUUAAUCGCUAUGUAGCAAAAAGAGUAGAAAAAACAAUGAACUAUCAACAAACAACAAUUUAAUGUAAUCGUAAUAUCAUACAAUUGUCAACAUAAUCAUUACAUAUUGUAUGACGUGAAGACCUGUGAUUUUCCUCCAUCGAACUGUGAUGCUUAAGAGUUACUCAAAUUAUUCCUUGGCUGUUCACGUAAUAAAUUUUCGAAAAGCACUUACGGCAGCGUGUGCUCGAGUAAAUAAAAGUGCAGAUAGCUCGGGUGAAGAAACGGUGGAUCAAGACGGUAAAGAAAAUGGAAGUCAGUCGAGAAGUGAAAAGAAAAACGGGAAGAAGAAAGGCAAAAGAAUUACUUUAAAAAAUGUUCAUUUAUAUUCCAAAAGUGCUGAUCAGCCUGUGAUUGAUCCAUCUGUCACUGAGUGAUAAUAAUUUUUAUUUCUUAUUGUUUAUCAUGAAACUUAAUUGUAUCGUUUUCUUUUUAUAAUAUCACUAGUUAUUUAUUGUUUAUUAUCGUUGUGUAGGUUUGAAAACCAUAAGUAAUUGACGUACUGUAAGUUGGUUAAUGUGCUCUAAUUUAUCAAUAAAAGAAAAUUUAAAA